UGCCUCUGAGCUCUUCAGCACUAAGUAAGUCUCAUAUCUCAAAAGCCCCCUCUCACUUCUGGUUCUAGGAAGAUUGCCUCAUCAAUCCCUCUACCACCCCCCACACUCUCAACCUCUAUUACUACUUCCUCCGUUUCACCUUCCACAAAAACUACUGCUCCCAGAGAAAAAUCCAAAUCUCAACCACAUACAUCCUUACUCCCUCCUGCAUAUGAACCAA
rnacentral:lncRNA from 1 species